UGAAAACAUCACAUUCUGGUUGAUUUCAUUUACAUGAAUUUCUAGAAGUAGUAAUUUAACACAAUAUGAUAGAAAUUCCAGUUGUGGUUGCCUCAGAUGGCGGGGGUGGGAGGAAGACACGGAGAGGAAGUGACUGCAAAGAGGCACAGGAGAACUUCCUGAGGUUAUGAAGAUUUCCUGUAUCUGGUCUAGCAUAGUGGUUAUGUGUCCGGAAUUGGUGGGUUCUUGGUCUCACUGACUUCAAGAAUGAAGCCGCGGACCCUCCCAGUGAGUGUUACAGCUCUUAAGGUGGCGCGUCUGGAGUUUGUUCCUUCUGAUGUUCGGAUGUGUUUGGAGUUUCUUCCUUCUGGUGGGUUCGUGGUCUCCCUGGCUCAGGAGUGAAGCUGCAGACCUUUGCCGGGUUACAGCUCUUAAGGCGGCGCCUCUGGAGUUGUUCGUUCCUCCUGGUGGGCUCGUGGUCUCGCUGGCUCAGGAGUGAAGCUGCAGGCCUUCCCGGUGCUGAUAAUGUAUUGGAAUCUGAUGCCGGCAAGACAGGAUUCUAAAGACAAAAUAGGAGGGCCCAGCAUCAUGAGACCAUGCGCGCAUGAUUUCUACUGUCUGCUAUGACAGUUUCUUCCAGAACAUUAAAGAUUCUAUCACAAGUUUUGUCCUCAGAAGCUGCCAACUUCCUCUUAAAAAAUAAACAAAAACAAAAAUCCUCUGGAAUUCUCAUCCAUUUUGGAAAAAUUUAUAAUUGAAAGUCUGUUGAAGAAAUGUUCAAUUUCUUCUUUCUGAUGUUCUUUCGUACUAAUUUCACUCCCUGAAUAGUAAAUAGAGACUUCCUCCUCAUGAGAGCAAUUACGAAACUUGUUAUAAACACACAAGUGACUUGUAAAAAUAAUGUACACAUUAAAGAUAACUUAACUUCCUAAAAGACAUUUGAAAAGGUCUUCUGAAAACAUUAAGGGAUGAGGAGGUAAUGAAAAUGCAGGAGAUCUUUGAUGAUAAUGUUGUUUGCUAGAGAACGGUAUGAAAUAGAAGUCAGGACAAUGUCAGAGAGAACAUUAUUUACUGAAAUCUGAAAACAACUUCAUUGCAACACUGAGAAAGUUUCAUUUUUAGGUUCCAUAACCCAGUGUGAUCAGAGGAUAUUUGGAUAUUGAAGGAACAGGAAAUAAAGCAGAGUCAUUACUGAGUCUGCUUACCUGAUGAAAAAUUUUACACCACUGCCACAAAAAUGAAGUUCAUAUCUACAUAUCCAAAGGUUUUAUAAGAGUCUAGUCAUGCUGCUCUCUUCUUUUUCUGCUACCACCACCAAAUGAUUACCUCUGGGAUAAACUAAGAUUCUCCUGACGAAGUGAGAAAAUUCCAGGAGGCUUUACCUGUUGUUUAAAUACACAAUGGACACCACAUUCCAAAAAUAAUAAAUCAACCAAGACUUGUCAGCAUCAUGAAGGUGAACUAUUCAGCUAUGUAAAAUAAUAUUUGCAGAAUAUCCGAAAGCUUGUACUUCUGCUUACCUCUACAAGGAUUUCUGACCACCUGGAUCUGUGCUAAGUAGCAUUUCAAUGGCCAUACUGUAGAAAGUUCUACAAGAUGAGCAUUUACUGGGUUGUGAGGACACCAUGGCAGUCACUCCAAGAUCUUAAAUAAUGGGUUAAAAUGGAUGUGAUCUCUUCUCAGCUUCAUCCAGUAGUAUACUACUACAGCAUGCAAGGGUUUUACUCUGUCUUUCAGCCUGGAGUGCAGUGGUGUGGUCAGGCUCACUGCAGCCUCAACCUCCCAAGGUCAAGUGAUCCUCCCACGUUAGCAUCCUGAAGAGCCGGGACUACAGACAGGUGCAUGCCACCAUGCCCAGCUAAUUUUUGUAUUUUUUGUAGAUACAGGGUUUCACAAUGUUGCACAGGCUGGAUGUUGAGUCUUAUAAUCUAUGAAAUCCCUCUAUAUUUACUUACAUUUCCUUUGAUUUCUUUCAUCAACAUUCCAGUUUGCCGCAUACACUCCUGCUCAUGUUUUGUUAGAUUUGCUCGUAAGUAUUUUCUUUUCUUGAGUGAUUGAAAAUGACAUUUUAAUUUCAUUGUCAACAUGUCUAUUACUGGUAUAUAAAAGUUCAGUUCAGCUUUGUAUGUUUAUCUUGCAUUCUGUAACACUACUGAAAUCACCUAUUCGUUCUAGGAGUGUUUUUCAUAAUUUCUUUUUUUUUUUUUUUUUUUUUUGAGACGGAGUCUCGCUCUGUCGCCCAGGCUGGAGUGCAGUGGCGCAAUCUCGGCUCACUGCAAGCUCCACCUCCCGGGUUCACGCCAUUCUCCUGCCUCAGCCUCCCGAGUAGCUGGGACUACAGGCGCCCGCCACCAUGCCCAGCUAAUUUUUGGUAUUUUUAGUAGAGACGGGGUUUCACCGUCUUAGCCAGGAUGGUCUCGAUCUCCUGACCUCGUGGUCUGCCCGCCUCAGCCUCCCAAAGUGCUGGGAUUACAGGCGUGAGCCACUGCACCCGGCCGUUUUUCACAAUUUCUUGAGAUCUUCUAUGUAGGCAAAUAUGUCAUCUGCAAAUGGACACUGUUUAUUUUGUCUUUUCCAAUGAACAUGCUUUUUAUUCCUUUCUUUUCUCUAUUGUACUGGCUAGAACUUCCUGUCCUAUGUUAAAUAAGAAUGGCUGAAUAAAAGCAGACACGCUAGCCUUGCUGUUUAUCUGAGGAGAGAACAUUCAGUCUUUUACCAUUGGUAGAUGUUAACUGCAGGUUUUUUAUAGAUGUUCUCUAUAAAGUUCAGGAAGUUCUCUAUUCCCAUUUUUCUGAGAGUUUAUAUCAUGAUUAAUGUUGAAUUUGGCAAAAACAUUGAAACACUUACACACAUACAUGUAUGUAUAUAUUUGGAAUCAACUGAUAUGAACAUGAGAGUUUUCUGCUUUAGCUUGUUAAUAUGGUGGUUUACAUUACUUUAUUUUCAAAAUCAAGCCAGCCUUGUAUCUCUAGAUUAAAAUCCACUUAAUCAUGGUUUUUUUUAAUAUAUUACUGAUUUAUAUUUGCUAAUAUUUUACUCAGG
rnacentral:lncRNA from 10 species